rnacentral:misc_RNA from 1 species
ACAGGAUAUAUUACAGAGGGACAGAUAUACAUUGACAGGCAGCUUUACAAUAGACAGAUAUAUCCUCCAAUCAAUGUCCUCCCAUCUCUGUCUCGUCUGAUGAAGAGUGCCAUUGGUGAGGGGAUGACCCGCAGGGACCAUGCUGAUGUGUCCAACCAGCUAUAUGCAAAUUAUGCAAUUGGGAAGGAUGUCCAGGCAAUGAAAGC